ensembl:lncRNA
AUUCUCAGGAGUAGAAUACUGGAUUGUGUCAUCAUAAAGAGGAGUGAGUGGAGUUGGCAGCAGGACUCUUUGUGAUGUUCAGGGCACAUCAGCCCUUCAGCCACACCACUGUGCUCCCUUGGAGCAGAAGUGUGAAUUGAGAGUGAGACCAAAAAGGGACAGAGGAUCUUUGAAACUCCAGAAGAGGCUUCUUCUGGUUGCUGGGCAAUGGAGUCUCCUGAAAUGCUGGCACCUGCCCACCACUGGGACCUCACAAGAAAUUUAAGCAAGUUUGUCUAUCUAGAGACCCCAGGUGAUGAGACCAGCUUUAUCUGAAAGUGGAAGUAGUCUUAACAGCUGGUCUUAUUUUUGUCAAGAAGAAGGGAAGAAUUUCAAGGAGCAGAAGUCAAUUGUAAACAGUUGUGAUAAUCAGGAUAACGCCAAUCCCCCCCAAAGAUGUCCAUGUCCCAAUCCCCAGAACCUGCAAAUAUGCUCCUUACAUGGCAAGGGGGAAUUAAGGUUGCUAAUGGAAAUAAGAUUGCUGAUGUGCUGGCCUUAAAUAGGGAAAUUAUCCUGGAUUAUUCAAGUGGGCCCAACGUCAACACGAGUGUCCUUAGAAGAUGGAAGAGGGAAGCAGGAGCGUCAGUGUCAGAGUAUUGGGACAUGAGGACUCAACCAGCCAUGGCUGGCUUUGAAGAUGAAAAGGGGCCAUGAGCCAAGGAAUGUGGGUGACCUCUAAAAGCUGGAAAAGGCUAAAAAAGAAGUAUUCACCUCAAGAGACUCCAGAAGGAAUGCAGCCCUGCCAGCACCCCAAUUCUAGCCCACUUAGACCUGUGUCAGAUUUCUGACUCCAGAAUUGCAAGAUAAAUUUUUGUCCUUUUAGGCCACUAAGCUUGUGGUUAUUUGUGACAGAAGACAUAGGAGACUAAUAGGAAAGAGUAUAGGAUUUUCUAAGUCCGGGGAGAAACUUUGUGGGGUCCAGAGAAUGCAGGGUUGUAGGUGAGCCUGAGCAGGCUAGUUUUGCACCUAAGUCGUCAACAGCUGUCUGUGAGACCCCAGACAGCUAGAAAGGCUGUCAGCCCCUUCUUGGGAACCUUUGGAGUCAUCAUUUAAGAAAGAGUUCGGGAACCACUAGUCAGUGACAGCCACCAAGAGGACUCUGCAUUUUGACCUCCUCAACAUCUAUGCUGUUUUGUUUAUUUUCCCCGCAGUGAUUGACAGUUGAACACUUCACUUUAAGAAAAAGGCCUUGUGAUCUGUUUCAUGGACAAGAAUGAUAAAGAAAAAACAAAACAAAACAGCUCCCAUUCCCCUGUCAACCAGCAGGGCUGCCGGAAACCUGAGAUAGAGAAGCGGGUGCUGGCAACACAGGAGAAGCAGAAUCCGGAUGGAGCCUGAGACAGGGAGAAAGGAAGGGCUUUUGAGGCUGAGAGAAGGGUAUCCACAGAGGCAUGGGGCCAGGGCCAACAGGAACCUGGUAGGUGUGUCCCCAAGAGGGACCACUCUGUGCUUGACUUGGGCCUGGCAUGAAGCUGGCCUCAGCAAAUGUGAGCUGCUUUUAUUAUUAUUAUUACUUACUAAGAAGGAAUGUCCUUUAGAGAGUGAUUGCCACGUUACCCAUACAUUAAAAAGAAGGCUUUACAUUCUCUCAUAUGAUUAUUUUAUCUGAUUCUUCUAUAACCACAUUGUCAUGGCAGGACAGGUAGCAUUUCCCCCUCUAUUUUAUAAAUUUGAAAAUGUCAAAGUGAAACAUAUGCUUGUUUUGAAUGGACUUCAGGGGUGAGGAGCUCGAUGGGCGACACUGCCGGGAGGCUCCAGGGCAGAGAAAGAGGAGACUCAGUUGGGGCACGUGGACCCUGGUGUCAGAGCACCUGGGAAACACCUUCUGUGACCUCCAGGACGAGCUGGAGAGACAAAGAGCCCAGAAAUACUGACCCACCAUCUCCAGACCUCAGAGCUGGAUGCUAAAUGAACCCAGGCUCCGAGCUCCCUGCUCAGGGUCUGUGCCGCCCUGCUCUGAGAUUCCUAACUGCUCGUCUCAAGCUGGUUGGGAAAGGGGUAGUAGAGGAAAGCUAGCCUCCUGGAAGGCCUCCCACCCUCCCAAGACUCAGAGCCGCACCCUGGCACGGCUUCCAGCCAUUUCUGCCUUCUUCUACUUACCAAAGGAAAAAAUACUGAUUGUAAACAUCACUUUAAAAGCAUGCCAUCCGACAGCCGGCUCAGCUGCAAUACAUCAGCCUGAAUUGUACUCAUUUAUGGUGAAGCAUUUUAUAUUAAUGUUUUCAUUGCUUAUCACAGACACUGGCUUUAAAGUGCUUAAGCCAGCUGUACUGAGUUAUUUAUUAGGCUUUUUUUUUCCAAGUUGCCUUUUCCUUAAAUAAAGUGUUUGUUUUACUUUCAUACAUUUAAGAAUCCCGCUUGUCUCCUGUCAAUCACUUCUGAUGGCUGAUGUGCCUGCAUCCCCUAUUUCUCCAGAAUAUACUCAGAACAUGUGGAAGGAAUGUGAACUGGAGCCAGCAAUGCCCAGCAAAGGACAAAUUCUGAGUGAGAUGGAGAGUUCAGUCUCUACACGGCCAUUUAGCUUCUCUUCCUCCAUUUUCUUUUUCUGACAAGCUGGAUUCCACCUCUAACAGUGAGGAUCUUCAAGCUUUGUCUGAAGUCAACUGAUCUGACACCUGGGCUCUCACCAGCCAAUGCUGUUGAUCAUCUCCUUCCUUGGUUCUCUUCCUGACGUUCUGACCACUCCUCAGUCCCCUUCAUUAGCUUCAUCCUCCUCUUCUCUAGAUAUGGGUGGCCUAAGGGUCAAGCCUCAAGCUGGUCUCCCUCAGAACUAGGACCUAUGUAAAGUGAAUUCUAAAAACUGAAUGGUGAGACAUCCCCCUUCCUUCACCUACUGGACUCCCAGAAGACUGACAACAAGACAAAAGCUAGAGGGCUGGUCUCUAGAGAGUCUGACAUUUGUGAGAUGGCUAACAAAAUUUCCAGGACCAAAUCAGUUUACACUGAAGCCCGUCAGUCAACAAGGUCCACCCAUAAUCAUAGAAUUCCAGUCAGCAACAUGGUUCCUCGCUCUGAAAUAUGAACAGAGCCAAGGGUCAGCAGACACUUAAGAACUCUAGCAAAAACUAAAACAAAACAAAAAUUGGAAUCAAGGGAUUCAGAGGAAACGAAGCUUCUGGAAGAGGAUCUUCACCAAAGUGAGAGAGUAAAACAGAGGACCUGCGAUUCAAGAGGAGGAGAUCAUCAGAGGAGAGCAGUGCAGGGGAAACCAAGACAGGAGGGAUGCAGCAGACCUAGAAGGAGCCAGUCCAGAUUGAAUGAAGUUGGGGCUUGGGGGCCCCAGAGGGAUGGUUUCAGGAAAAGAACAACGCUCUUCAGUGAUCCAAAGGGCUUGACCCUGUCUAAGGGACUUUGGUAACACUGCCAGAGAGUUUGGGGAAGAAUCAAUGGUAGAUACAUAGAAUACUAGGAAAAUUAUUAAAUUUGAAAAUUUUUAGCUCUUAGCUAAACAAAAAGUUGUUUAAGAAAGGAAAUAUCAAGGGCCCGCCUGGUAGCCUAGUGGUUAAGUUCGGCAUGCUCUUCUUCGGCCACCCAGGGUUUGCGGGUUCAGAUCCUGGAUGUGGACCUACAUCCCUCAUCAGCCAUGCUGUGGUAGCGACCCACAUACAAAACAGAGGAAAGACUGGCACAGGUGUUAGCUCAGGGCCAAUCUCUCUCACCAAAAAAGAAGGAAACAAAGAAAGGAAAUAAUCAUAUUUGUAUUCCUUUGUGAAUAUCUUCAUAGAUAUAAACAUGAAAAUCCUAAAAAUUCACUUAGAAAAUUGCAGUAUAACUAUGUUGGGAGGAUGAAAGGAAGAGAAGGGGGUGGUGUGUUAGCUAAAACAGAGAAAGCCUACACUGCUGUAGACAGAAGUUAAAAAAUAAUGUCCUAAAGAUAUAGCAAUAUAAUACACUAUUUAGAAAUAUGAGCAUAAAUGUCAGCGAUAAGAGCUCAAAAAGUUGAAAAUGGUGUUCCUAGGGAGUAAGACUCAGGAAUGAGGACAGGUAAGCCAAAGAACUACUAGGUUUUUUGUAAGUCUUGUCAUAAAUUUAAAUUGUGUAAUCAUGUACGUAUACUAGUUUGAUAGAAGGUAAAAGUGUGGGGCCGGCCCCAUGACCAAGUGGUUAAGUUCGGCACACUCCACUUUGGUGGCCUUGGUUCAUGGGUUCAGAUACCAGGCACAGACCUACUCCACUCAUCAGCCAUGCUGUGGCAGCAUCCCACAUAAAAAGUAGGGGAAGACUGGCACAGAUGUUAGCUCAGGGCCAGUCUUCCUCAAAGCAAAAAAAGAGGGAGAUUGGCAACAGAUGUUAGCUCAGGACUAAUCUUCCUCACCAAAACAAUAAAGUAAAAUUGUAAUUCAGGUGUGUGGUAUAUGCAUAGCUGUGUAUUCUACAAAGGUCAAGAGUCCACUAUGAGCAGAAGUACAAUGAGGAGCAAAAUCAGACGCAGAUCCUGCCUUUCUGGAACCUGUCUUUAAAUGUGUCGUGCUGUCUCUUAACUCUGGACCCUGCAUAGAGUUUUCCCUGACCACUUGUCUGUCUGGAAAAUGAUGACUUAAUUACCAAAGCUCUUUCCACACCUUCCAUGACUCCCCCAAAGCAGCCAGGCCUCUCCUUGGUCCUACUGUCCUUUGUGCAAACCUCCAUAGCAGCGACUGUCUCAUUGUCCUGGACGUGUGUAUUUGCAGGCCUAUCUUUCAGGUAGUCAUGCAAGAACCUCAUUUCACCCUGAGUGUGUCCCUGGUGCCUAGCACAGUGUCUGACUCUAUGUCAAAGCCCAGUAAGUGCUUGUCAAAUAAAGGCAUGCACGCAUGGAUGUACACAUGGUUGGGCAGAUACAUGGAUGCAUGCAUAGAGGGUCAAGCUGUGUUUCUUUGUUACCAUCUAAAAGAAAGAGAAAUAUUGGCUGGUUAAAUAAACAAGACUGAGAGAGCAGGAAAUAUCCAGGAAAUUGUACCACCCUCCCUGGGCUAGGCAUACAGGCUGCAUAGAAUGAGCCACUAACACCUCAGUGAGAGCUAAAGUUUGCUUUACAUUAUUGCUUCCACAAUCCUUGGGACCCAAGAUGGUUCAAAUCAAUGUGUACACAAGAGAGAAGAAAGGAGGAAAGUGACACGGCAAGGGGAGGCAGAGGCCCUGAAGACAUACCUUGCUGGCAAUGGCACCUGUCUCUGAUUGUGGUUUCCAGCAGGAAGGUCAAAUACCUCUCGGGUGCUGUUGGAUAUUGCUCUCAGCUAACAGUGACCACAAAGGAAGAAGCCAGGGCACCCUCCAGUAAUGACACACCAUAUCCCAUACCAGGGGCCUGAUGAACAGGUGCAGCUCUUCUCAGGCCUGCCUGUGGGUGCAAUCAGCACUUAUGCUAACGGUUUGCAUUCUUUCCACAAAGAUCCCCAAGCAAGUGGACAGCAAGAUGCAGGGAUCAUUUGCAGCCCCCGCUUCUACCAGCAAGGCCAUUUCCUAAAUCAGGGCCCUCAACUUCGUAAGCUGAGUCUAAAGGGCAAGAGAAAUUUACCAAAGACUCAGAUGAAACUUCUAAAGCCCUACUGAUGCCACUUUGUUCCCACCAAAAGGAUCUUUAACAAUUGAAAGUUAAACGAAUUUCUCAUAUAUUCGUCCAACCCAGGAUGGUAGCUAGUCAGCUUUGUGGCAUGAUUUAAGGGUUCUGAAAAGACCACACUGCCCCAAAAUAUCUCCCCACUGGCCUGAAAUUCUUCAUUUCACUUUAUAACCAUGCCUGAAAUUCCACCAAUUAGAAACUCAUUUACAAGCCCCUCUUGUAAAAUGUGCAAGAGUGAUUAGCUUUAUUUGAUGCCGCUCCAGAAUCUAAAAUUAGGACCAAUGGUUGGGUCUAAUAAAGAAAAAUUGAUGGGCUUUAGUUUGACUGAAAAAGCCUCUUCUGUCAGUUCUUGCUCUUCAGCAGUGGGACCGGCAACCCCCAUGAGUGACAGAUAAACGAUCACUUAAGACAAAAUCUUCUCCUUCUGGACAGCUCGAAAGGGGUAGAAAGUUCUUCCCUGUGGUGGAUUAAAAUUUGCUUCCCGACACUCUGAGUGGUUUGCCCUAGUUCUGCUUUCAACAACACAAAGGGAGUCUAUUCUAUUUCCCCUGCUCAGAUAUUCCAAGGCAGCCCCCUCUCCCUUGGAGCUCCCGUGGCCCUUCCUCCAUGUCUAACAGCUGGGCAGUCUGUGUGUGCUGAUUUGGCUACAUAAGACAUGGCUUCAGGAUUGCUUGCCUGCCCACCAGAGAAUGGCCUGCAGGAAGGUAGAAGUUGUAAGGUGCCUGUGACGUGCAACAGCAGCCUGCAUUCUCUGCUCCUCAUGGACAGAGCGCUCUGGCACACACAGGGCUGUGUGGGGCUGGAAGUAUCACAUGCGUGUUGCAGGAUCAGGCGCCAGACCAUGUGCAGAGAAAUCAAAUCAAAGAGAAGGGCUCAAGAAAGUACUGACACCUGAGCUGGUUGGUUUUGGCAAGAUCUGUACCAGGAUGCAGGACACCUUGAGGGUGCAGUCCGAUGCCAAGCCAGGGGUUGUUUGCUCAGUAUUUCUCCAUGAAAGUUCGGCAAGAAAGCCCAAGACCUGGCCUUCUAUCCGAGAUCAAUCCCUCACUAACUGAAGGCUUC